rnacentral:rRNA from 1 species
GAGUUUGAUCGUGGCUCAGAUUGAACGCUGGCGGCAGGCCUAACACAUGCAAGUCGAGCGGUAGAGAGAAGCUUGCUUCUCUUGAGAGCGGCGGACGGGUGAGUAAUGCCUAGGAAUCUGCCUGGUAGUGGGGGAUAACGCUCGGAAACGGACGCUAAUACCGCAUACGUCCUACGGGAGAAAGCGAGGGGACCUUCGGGCCUUGCGCUAUCAGAUGAGCCUAGGUCGGAUUAGCUAGUU